rnacentral:rRNA from 1 species
CGGGGGCGGGAUGCCUUACACAUGCAGUCGAACGAAUCUUCGGAUUUAGUGGCGGACGGGUGAGUAACGCGUGAGAAUCUGGCUUCAGGUCUGGGACAACCACUGGAAACGGUGGCUAAUACCGGAUGUGCCCUUCGGGGUGAAAGAUUAAUUGCCUGAAGAUGAGCUCGCGUCUGAUUAGCUAGUAGGUGUGGUAAAGGCGCACCUAGGCGACGAUCAGUAGCUGGUCUGAGAGGACGAUCAGCCACACUGGGACUGAGACACGGCCCAGACUCCUACGGGAGGCAGCAGUGGGGAAUUUUCCGCAAUGGGCGAAAGCCUGACGGAGCAAUACCGCGUGAGGGAGGAAGGCUCUUGGGUCGUAAACCUCUUUUCUCAGGGAAGAACACAAUGACGGUACCUGAGGAAUAAGCAUCGGCUAACUCCGUGCCAGCAGCCGCGGUAAUACGGAGGAUGCAAGCGUUAUCCGGAAUGAUUGGGCGUAAAGCGUCCGCAGGUGGCUAUGUAAGUCUGCUGUUAAAGAGUCUAGCUCAACUAGAUAAGAGCAGUGGAAACUACAAGGCUAGAGUACGUUCGGGGCAGAGGGAAUUCCUGGUGUAGCGGAAAAGGGGCCUAAAAAUAUUUUUUUUUUUUUUUGGGUUGGUGUGGUUUCUGGGG